rnacentral:rRNA from 1 species
AUACGGAGGGUGCAAGCGUUGUUCGGAAUUACUGGGCGUAAAGCGCGCGUAGGCGGUUUGUUAUGUCAGAUGUGAAAGUCCACGGCUCAACCGUGGAAGUGCAUUUGAAACUGGCAAACUUGAGUACUGGAGGGGGUGGUGGAAUUCCCGGUGUAGAGGUGAAAUUCGUAGAUAUCGGGAGGAAUACCGGUGGCGAAGGCGACCACCUGGCCAGAUACUGACGCUGAGGUGCGAAAGCGUGGGGAGCAAACAGGAUUAGAUACCCCGGUAGUCC